rnacentral:rRNA from 1 species
UGAUCAUGGCUCAGAUUGAACGCUGGCGGCAGGCCUAACACAUGCAAGUCGAGCGGUAGCGGGAAGAGCUUGCUCUUUGCCGACGAGCGGCGGACGGGUGCGUAACACGUAGGAAUCUGCCCGGUAGUGGGGGAUAGCCCGGAGAAAUCCGGAUUAAUACCGCAUACGCCCUAAGGGGGAAAGCAGGGGAUCUUCGGACCUUGCGCUAUCGGAUGAGCCUGCGUCGGAUUAGCUUGUUGGUGGGGUAAAGGCCUACCAAGGCGACGAUCCGUAGCUGGUCUGAGAGGAUGAUCAGCCACACUGGGACUGAGACACGGCCCAGACUCCUACGGGAGGCAGCAGAA